rnacentral:piRNA from 1 species
GACUAACUGGAUAUAGGGAAAGAGUGUUA